UUCUUCUUGCACAAUUCUAGAGGUCAAAAAAUCCAAAAUCAAAGUGUCAGAACUGGAGUUCCUGUUGUGGCUCAGUGGUUAGCAAACCCAACUACCAUCUAUGAGGAUGCUGGUUCGAUCCCUGGCCUCACUCAGUGGGUAAAGGAUCUGGUGUUGCCGUAAGCUGUGGUGUAGGUCGCAGAUGCAGCUCAAAUCCCGACUUGCUGUGGUUCUGGCGUAGGCUGGAGGCUACAGCUCCGAUUGGACCCCUAGCCUAGGAACCUCCAUAUGCUGCGGUGUGGCCCUAAAAAGAUAAAAAUAUCAAAAAAAAAAAAAGUAUCAGAAUAGAAGGUUCUAAGGAGGGUCCAUUCUUUGGCCCUACCAGCUUUCUAUAACUCCUGAUAACACCCAUUCCAUCUCUGCCUCCAUCUUCUCCUGGCCUUUCUCUCUGGGUAUCUGUGUAUCUCAAAUUUCCCUCUCCUUUUUGUUAUAAUCUGCUAGUUUUAGAGAACUGACCCUAAAUCCCAAAUGAUAUCGUCUUGAGAUCCUUAACUUCCAUAAACCCUAUUUCCAAUAGUUUGUAUUCCCAAAUACUGGGGGUUGGACAUAGAUUUUUGGGGAAGACACAGUUCAACCCACUACAGUGCCCUUUAGGAAUUUUAGAUUCUGCAAAGGGACAGAAUGCACCCAGCUGAGCACAUACUCCUGGAAGGUGGGUAAGGUUUUGAUCGAUUCAUUCUUUGACUUAGAAACAUUGCUGAACCCCCACUGAGCUGGGCACAGGAAAGUAGAAGCCAUCAGGCGUUCACAUCAGGUGGGGGUGGGGUGGUGGGCACAGGGAGAGAGGAACAGGCAUUCUGUUCAGUGUGGUAGGGCUUGGAGGAGGUGGCCCCUGAUGCUAGGGGGUGCUUAGCAGCAAGCUCUAGAGGGUAGGGAGUCAGAUGUCUUCCCAGAGGAGGAAAAAGGAUUGUUUCACCUGAGGCCUGAAGAACGUGGGAGUAGGAGCCAGCCACACCCAAAGGGGGAGGUGCUCUAGAAGAAGGAAAGAAAGCCCAACCUCUGUGAGCCCACCAGGAAGAAGUAGAGGCUGGUGGGCUGCAGGGGCAGACAAAGGAUCAAAUCAAUCACACAGGUUGCUGGGAGCCAUUCAGAAGUGGUGGAGAGCCAGGCAUGACGUGAUCUGCACAUUAAAAAUAAAAAUUAGAGGAAUUCCCACUGUGGUGCGAUGGGAUCUCUGGGGUCUUGGGAGCGCUAGGACAUGUGUUCCAUCCCUAGCCUGGUACAGUGGGUUAAGGAUUCAUGCAUUGCCACGGCUGUGGCUUAGGUUGCAAUUAUGGCUCUGAUCUGAUCCCUGGCCAGGAACCCCAUAGGGGCCAGGGGUGGCCCCAAAAUAAAUAAAUAAAUACAUAAAAGUAAAACUUAGAGAAAGCCUGUAAAAGUGAUUUUCCAGUAGAUUUAAAAAUUGUAUUUAUUAUGUUUUGUGUAUGUGCAUUUUAAGUAUAGCAUAUACACAGAAAAGUGCCACUUGAAGAAUAAGUGAAUAGUGCUGUGUGUACACCACUUAUAUUGUUCGAUUCUCAGAGGAAGAUUAGAGGGGAGUUUGAGAUGGGCCAAUGACUCAGAAUUCCUCUUCUUUGUUCUACUGGAAAAUGACCUCCAUAACAGGAAGAACCUGAGUUGUAGAAUAGGAAGACUCAGUUGUGAGCCCCAUCUGGUAUCUUCCUGCUAUGUGAUCUCAGGCAAAUGGCUCUACUUCCCUUAUCCUCAGUUUUACCAUCUGUAGAAUGGGCUAACAGUAUCUGCCUCACCAAGAUGGUGUGAAAAGUGAAACAGGACAAAGCUGGAGAAAGCUCUCUGCGUUACGCAAAAAAAGUGCUCUUGAGGAGUUGCCAUUGCGGCUCAGCAGUGGCAAACCCAACUAGUAUCCAUGAGGACGUGGGGUUCCAAACCUGGCCUUGCUUCUUGCUCAGUGGGUUAAGGAUCCAGCAUUGCCGUGUGCUGUGCUGUGGUCACAGACUCAGCUCAAAUCCCCAGUUGCUGCGGCUGUGGUGUAGGCUGGCAGCCGCAGCUCCAAUUUGACCCCUAUCCUGGGAACUUCCAUAUGCCGCAGGUGUGCGGCCCUAAAAAGACAACACAGACACACAGACACACACACACACUGCUCCUGAGUUUCAACACACACACACACACACACACUGCUCCUGAGUUUCAACACACACACACCGCUCCUGAGUUUCAAACUCUAAUCUGUCUCAGAUCUGGGUUGCUUUGCUGUACCUUCUUCCUUCUCCACCUGACGGCGGGCAGUUCAGAUAAAGGAGAAGAGGGGGAGGAGGGAGUUUCUUUUUUUGUAGCACUUUGUUUCCCAUUCUAAAAUACCUCUACCGGAUCUGGACUGUCACUCCUGUACCCUUCUUUAUCCCCACCCUUCCCGCUCACUCUCACUGUUUCCCCUCUCACCUAACAGGCUCAAAGAGGCAGAGGAAGGAGGGCAGGGAGUUAGGGCCAUGCAAAGAGGCUUGGGGGUGAGGAUAAAACUGAUGCUCCUUUCCCAGCCUUCACUGAGGACCUCGUGUCGCCAUCUCUGCACAGGGCAUUGGGGAUUGCUGGGGGACAGGGAAGGGAACCGUGGCAUUCACAGAUAGUUACUGUUGAAGCAAAAUGGAAACAGGUGGGUAACAGAGCAGUCAGCUAAGGUCAAGGUCUUACUGUUAAGAGGUAAAAGGCCCCUAAGGAGUUGAGAAACAGAAGAGACAAAACGCCGUAAAGAAGGUGAGGCCAGUGCCAGACUCUCCCUCUCACCUCCCAUUUCAGAUUCUUGGCAUUUCUGCAAUAAAUACCUCUAAGUGUCUAUUGCACAUGAGACCAUUCUUUUACAUACUUUGUCUUAUACAGUCUUAGAACAAGGCCAAAAGCCGAGUCUUGUAAUUACCAUGCUUCUGAUGAGGGGGACUGAGAUGCUCAGGCACUUGCUCAAGAUCACACCACUGUUAAAGGAAGGAAAGAGUUUGGAACACCCAUUCAUCCAGCUCCAAAGCUCCUGCUUUUCCCACUCUGCUCUCCUGUUUCACUGCAGGGCACCACACAUUUCAUCAGGCUGUGCUGCAUUGCAUGCAUUUUUAGUAUUUGUGUGCACAUGUCAAUAGGCAUGUCGACAUGCCUGCUGGGUGAGUCUUAAUGAUUGCAUUUUGAGCGGCUACCUGCAUUUUUGCUGGCAAGGCUUGGCUGAGGAGGACAGGAAAGGAAGCCCAGGAGCCCACUGCGUGGGAGGCCCGUCACAUGGCCCGAGGGUUGGUCCUUGAACAAACCAAUGGGAAAUGGCUCUGGGUAGCACCAGUAGAACUUCAGUUCCCUGGGGGACUCCCAGGUUUUUCCAUGACUAUCCUAUUGCCAAAGCACAAUUCAUUUCCCAUUUUUUAAAAAUACAGGUAGAACUUUUAUUUUUUAAAUUUAAUUUUUAUUUUAUAUUAUACUUGAUUUACAGUGUUGUUUUAGUUUCAGGUGUACAGCAAAGUGAUUCAGUUAUACAUUCUCAUUCUUUUUUUUUUUUUUAAAGGAACUAAUAUUUGUUUAGCACCCACUAUAUGACAAGCGUGGUGCUAGGCACUUUACAUCCGUGAUAUCAUUUAACUCCUACACACCCUGCCAAGGGGGCACCCUCAGCACCCCUGUGUGGCCCAGGAGACCAGGAAACAGAUUCAGUAAGGUGGGGUCCUUUGCCCAAGAUCAUUCAGAGCAGUGCAGAACAGGGCCUCCUGCCCAGUGCUGUCGAAACAACAGGCCACACUGGCAUUUUAAAGUUAUUGGUGGCUAUAUGU
rnacentral:lncRNA from 1 species